rnacentral:lncRNA from 1 species
CAGGGGUGGAAGGGAGCUGGGAGAGUGACUGUGACAAUGAGACGUCUCCCUUUCUCUCUGCAGCGCAGACGCACCACCGAAAAGGAGGAGAAUGGCCUGCAGAGAAGAGGAGGGUCUCCGGUUUGUCCUCAGCGUGGAAGGUCACCCAAGGUCACUACCUCACUGGGUCUCCAAGCUAAAGGCGGAACUGCUCAGUCUCCACUGUCUCUCACUUUAUCGUCUGCACUGCGAUUUAGCAACAUGUUGUAUUCAUAAGCAGAAAGGGACUGAAGGCUUCAAGAAGCACAACCGCAGAAAAUGUGCUGCUGAGCUUCACCCAAUCAAAAAAAGACGCCCCUAACGAGCUGUAAAUCGGGUCUUCGCGAGCGGGUCAAAAGCGCGGCCCCGCGUCACGUGAACGCGCACGGCCCUCAGCUCAGGUGGGUUUCGCAUUAACGGACCCGUUCGGCCACACGGCGAACAACGGCCUGGAACCUAUGGAAGUGUAAGAGUGUGCGUGUGCGUGUGCGUGCGCGCGCGCCAAUUUGUAUGUAGCCCUUUUGUGUGUUUCUAGUUAAUAUGAGCGGUCACACUUGGCAGUGUGUGCGUGUCACUCACUGUACACACUGUACGCACGUUCCGUGUGCAGGAAUCACGCUCGUCCUGAACUCACUUUAUAACAAACUUUGUGCGGGAGAAACGUCUGUUUUUUUGUGUCUGUGAACAAAAUUCCUACGUUAAACAUUAAUGUCCCUGUUUUUACAUGAUCGUCUGUAAACCGAAUAUUUAUUUCACCAUAAAGCGGGAUUGUAAGAAUCCCUCCUGCUUGCUCGGUAUUUCAUAUUCAACAUAAAUGUCAUAUAUUGUUUAAUUUCGAUGCAUGGAAAUCAUGAUCAUUGUGGGAGGAAAAAAAACUAAGUUAUGUUCGAUGGGAGAAAAAAAAAUGAUAUUGGAACAAUAACCUGAACAAGGGCUCGCUUAAAAUUGUUCAUUUUAAAUUGUUCGUUCAUCAUUCAUGAAAGGGAAGCAAGCAAAAACAUUUAUCCAUUUUUAAUUUUACAGGCAUAUUUACAUUUAUUUAUUUAUUUACCAUUUUAUGGAUAUGUUUACUUUAAAUUUUCUAAAUGUAACAUCGGAACAUAGAUGCAAUAAGAAUAAUGGUAAGCACAAGAAUCAGUGCAUUCAUUUAGAAAUACUGUAUUAGGUUAUUAUGGAGUCGCUCUGGAAAACGCGAGGUGCAGGUUAUUUUUCCAGUCAUAAAUAAUAAUCCCGAAAGGAUGAAUAAAAGUCCUCGGCGCCCUAUGUAACA